UGACUCUGAGCUCAAGAAUUUGUAUAUACCCUUGUCGUGGUAGUCCACAGUUCUAUUUUUUUGUUUCAGUUUUUACUGAUACUUAUUUUGCUGCAACACUUUGUGGAUCGAUUGCAUCAACAAAUUUUUUUAUUGAAUCCAAUAGAAUUUACAGACAUGAAGUAGGAGAAUUGCGGUUUCCACGAAAAUACGAAACACAAGGUUAAGUGACUAAACCAUUUAUAUGUACAGUAGAGGAAACUUGGACCAUUUUUAACAUUUGAUGAAAUUUUAACUCAAGAAUUACAGUUGGAUGUAGCUAGAUUUAAUAGUUUUUAAUUGUAUUCAAUGGAUAAUUAAAUUGCUACUUCUAAUGUUUUUAUGUAUAAUUUUCAUACAGGAUGAACCCUAAAUUUAUGUACAAAUCAGCAAGAAAUUAGAAGAUAUGGAAAAUGAAGAAAGCCAUAAUUCUUAGAAGAAUCGAUCAGUUGAUCACAAUGAGCAACAGCAAACCCAAAUUAUAAGUAGUAUCGACAUAAAGGUUAGCAAUUUUGAGCGAACUGGCUGGGCUGAUAUAAGCGUAGCAAUCUCUAACCAAAGAGUAAAAUUUUGCGGACUUAUGUGUUUUCGUUAGUAAAUCAAUAAAAAUAAUAACAAAUAAAGUUUUUAAAAGUUAUAUAAUAAUUUUAUUAUAACGGUGAAUUAUAAACAUAAUNNNNNNNNNNNNNNNNNNNNNNNNNNNNNNNNNNNNNNNNNNNNNNNNNNNNNNNNNNNNNNNNNNNNNNNNNNNNNNNNNNNNNNNNNNNNNNNNNNNNAAUUUUUCUCAACUACACAAAAAGUCUGUUUGUUCCUUGACACCAAAACAUUACGAACACAAUUUAACUCAAUUGUAUUCUUAUAUAUUAUUGAUUGAAUUAAUAAGACAUUAAAUCAAUUUUUUACUUUUUCAAUAAAACAAAAAUAAAAAAUUAUUUAGUUGAAAUAACGCAUGUGUGAAAAUUUAUAACAAUUUAAAUACUAUGUCCAAUCAACUGAAGUAGAUUUCCCUUCUUAAAAUAUCAACUAUAUAUGUACUUUAACAAUUCAUUUAAACAAAUUAUAAGAUACUUCUUCCAUACCACUCGCCUAGGUAUUAAAAUCAAAUCAGAUUUAAUAAAAAUAUUUUAUUUCUGUUGUAAAAGUAAAAAUUAUUAAAUAAUAUAAUUUUUUAAUUAAGAUUCAAUCCUUAAAUUUAAUUUUUUUAUUGAGUAUAAUAGAUUCAAUUAAUCAUAUAUUGAUUUAUUCAUAUUCAUUGCAUGUGUUUUUUUUUAAGUUUGUGAAUACAUCUUAUUUUAAAUUUAUAUAAGAUGUUACUUGAAUAUUUUAAAUAUACUAUAAUAAUAAUACAUAACAAAAUUUAUUUAUAUUAUCGAUGCUAAAGAUCAUACUAUUAAAUUAGAUAAUGUUCACACUAGGAUCAACUUGACAUAAGCUCAGAAUGGAUGAUCAAAAUCAUUGAUUUGUUUAUUUUUUUUCUUUUAAUAUAUAUCAUUAAACUCUGCUCCAUAUUGUAUAAUAGGGCUCAAUAUGGAAAUUUUUCAUACUGAAAAAAAAACAUUAACUAUUAUUCAUUGUUAAGAAGAGAAUAAUUUAACAGUUUCAAAUAUAAAUUUAUCUAUGUAAACAUAUUUUUGCACCUUAUGAUUGAGCAACUAUCCAUGCAUAUUAUUUGCAAUCUAUAUGAAUAAUAAUCUACACAACCACGAAAAGGGAAAGCAAGUGCAAUCACAUGCAUAAACUAAAUUGUCUUUCUCACGUUCGCUCCCAAAGCAUAUCUUAGGCAUUGGAUUUGUUGGGUGUGUUCAGUGUUUUAUACAUCUCGUCAAUGGUAUUCUGUCAACAAAAAAUUGUAGUCAAUACUAAAGCAAAUACCUAAAUGUAUUAUACACUACCAAAUUUUUUAUUAAAUAUAUACUAAUUCUAGAGAUAAAAAAUAAUUAAUCACUAUAUUAACUAAAUUAGAUACUAUUUUAUAAAUUAAAAAUUUAUUAAUAUUUAAAAUAAUUUUUAUUAUUAAUAAAUAUAAUGAUUAAUUAUUUUUUCUUCAUAAUUUUAUUUUUCCAUAAAAAUUAGAAAGAUAAUAAAGUAAGGAGAAAAGAAAACCAUGAUGCAUUCUAUUUCAAGUUCUAUGAUACUAAAUAAAAUCACAGACAAUUUGUACCUGAUAGUAUUUAAGCAAUUCAGGUCUUUUCUUCUUAAAUGUCGGAGUCAUAAGGCCACGUUCCAUGUCAAAUGGAACUGGGUCAAGAUGAACAGCCUUAAUAAACUCAAACCCUUUUAACUGUCAAAAACAAAUAAUUAGGAUCGUAUAAAGCUUCAACAAAUCUAUGUACCAACAAACACAUAUCACACUGAAAAAUGAUUUUUUGAUCCAUCCAAACUAUUCAAUUAUAAGUAUUUGCAUUAACAUAACAUGCUAAUUUUUUUAAAAAAAAAAUCAGAAAAUACAUAUCGAUCAAAAUGUAGAUAUUAUCUUUUGCUUUAAAAACAUAUAUUGCAUGUUGACCAAGAAUAAAAAUUAUAUUUGUACUUCAAAUUUAUACUUAAAAAUAUAUAUUGUAUAAUAUAAAGAAUAGAGAAAUGUCAAUAAACCUUCUUAUCCUUUGCAAUCUUGACAAGCUCUCCGAUUACGUAAGUUUUUGUUCUAGAAUCUCCACAGAGAGAAUCAAAGUCUGCAGUUAUAUUAUUUUCUUCUGCCCAUUGUUCAGUCGUUGGCUUGUGAAGGUUAACAAUAGCAACUAGGUAUGACUCAAAACUAUUUCCAUAAAUCCAUAUCUGAAAUAAAACCGCACAAAAGAAUUAAUAUCAAUAUGAUUCUAUACAUGCAAUGAAAACAAACUGACAUUAAAACUUUCAUUUCUAUAUCUGCACUAAACCAAACCUUCUGAUAUCAUUCACAAAUCCUUCUGCUACAACAGUUUUUCAACAUUUUGUAGGGCAAAUAAUUGAACAAAAAGACAAGUGUUCAGAGAACAUACAGAUUCAACAACAGAAGCUUGAACAUAAAUAUUCUCCAGAUGUUCAACAGCAACAUAUUCUCCUUGUGAAAGCUUAAAUAUAUUUUUUUUCCUAUCAACAAUUUUC
rnacentral:lncRNA from 1 species